rnacentral:rRNA from 1 species
AUUGAACGCUGGCGGCAGGCCUAACACAUGCAAGUCGAGCGAGCGGCGGACGGGUGAGUAAUGUCUGGGAAACUGCCUGAUGGAGGGGGAUAACUCCUGGAAACGGUAGCUAAUACCGCAUACCAUCAGAUGUGCCCAGAUGGGAUUAGCUAGUAGGUGGGGUAACGGCUCACCUAGGCGACGAUCCCUAGCUGGUCUGAGAGGAUGACCAGCCAGACUGGAUGUGAGACACGGCCCAGACUCCUCCGGGAGGCAGAAGUGGGGAAUAUUGCACAAUGGGCGCAAGCCUGAUGCAGCCAUGACGCGUGUGUGAAGAAGGCCUUCGGGUUGUAAAGCACUUUCAGCGGGGAGGCGUUACCCGCAGAAGAAGCACCGGCUAACUCCGUGCCAGCAGCCGCGGUAAUAC